rnacentral:piRNA from 1 species
GACACAUUUGUAUGGAGGAGGGGA